rnacentral:lncRNA from 1 species
UUGUGAAAACUGAGGAAUGUCAUACAUCCAAGGUCUAAACUUUGAGAUUAUUACAUUUUGACUUUUCUUCCGAGACAUCAGUGCACACAUGUUUGAAUUUAUUGGCAAGAGGAUGGUUUUGAAGAGAAUGAGAGCCGUUUGGAAUGGUUUGGAAGACUAGGACCGGCACAUGGGUACUACAAUCCUCAAAGGAGAUGACAUACCAAAAAUUUUGCCCCGGUUUUGUUUUUGGGAAAAUGAUCUGGGGUUUGGAUCCAUGAAAAUUGGGGUGAAACAAACUCAAGUGAGACUUGCAAAGUUGCCCUGGUCAUGGGAUUAUGGAUUGAUGAAAAAUUUGUGUGAGACUCACAAAGCUGCCCCAGUUUUUUUUAUCGUGGUAUGGGUUGAUGAACGACUCGUGUGAGGUUCACAAAGUCGCCCCAGUUUUCUUUGGCCAGGGGUUCUAUUUGGAGGAGGUAGUGGCAUGACAAGGAUCGACCAAAAGGAUGGUCCCAACUAGUUUGAUUUUCUUUUGCAUGCUUCUAGCUAGGUUACAGUGAGAUUACCUUUUUUUUUUUAUAUUCAUUCAUUUUCAAAUUCUUUUCUUUUUUUUUACGACAUAUUGAAAGUCAUUUUGCCUUAUCGCAACAUUAAGCUUUAUAAAAAUUUGAGCAAUCCUUAUUCAAUCUGCGUGGACUUUAUUAGGCUUGUAAUGU